GGCCCGCCUAUUGCUAUGUCUAUCACACCGAUAGCCAACGGCGGCUAUCACGCUUACGACAAAGACGUCGC
rnacentral:ncRNA from 1 species